CUGAGAAAUGAGAAUUGCCUAUUGAGAAAUGAGAACGCUCUCUCUCGCUCUCUCUGGCGCCAAGUGAAGAAAAAAUUGCAGAACUCGAGAAUUCUAUCUUCACGUCCACGAGUCCAUCCGCACAUCCCACACCUUCGCUCCGGCUCCACCAUUAACAGGUAUAGACCUUGGGGGUGUUCACUCUUGAAGAAUAGGUCCACGUUGUUCAUACGAAGUCUUGUCGGGCCAGCAUGCAGUGUUCCGCUCACAAGUUAAUAAAAUUAGAAGUUUUGAAUUUGGGAAUGUUAAUGAUAUACUAAUAUAGAGGAUAUUCUGCGAAUAAGAGUAAUAGUUUUGUCUUGCUA